CUUGGAAACACGAACCACACACCAUUUCUUACACACUUCACACCCCUCCACUACAGGCGGUGUCACAAACACAACACAUUACCCUCUGUGGUAUCAGGACCACCACAGGGGCCGACACCAGCCUACAUAGUUUCACCAAGGUAUACCGCCUCACACACACAAGAAACGAUUUGUUGUACAUAGUUAUUUGUUAUACUUGAAAUUGUUACACCUAUUAUUUUGUUUUAGUUGCACAUCCCGGGACAACCCUAUCAGCAUCAGGGACAAAGCUGAACAUCUCCUGACAUACUCUCCACCACAGCAGCCUUAACCAACCGAAUUCAAACUGCCACAAAUGGCCUCUAUUACAAUGAUCUCCCACAACGCGCAGGGCUUAAACACACCCGAAAAGCUAAGCUUAGGUUAGAAUGGCCGGGUUAAGCACACUAAGAAUAGUCAAGUAAAGGGAGCCAGAAAACACGAGAACGAGAAACAAGCCAAGGUCAAAGGAAUGGAGAAUACAGGAAAGUCGGAAUAACGAGCCAAAUAAACGGUAACCAGAGAGCAUCAUGAGCAAACUGCAAUACAGGUAACACAAGACCACAACAGGGCACUAAGAGACAGGAAAGGUAAGUAUAAAACAGCUGUGCUUAAUUCUGAUUGGAUAACUUCCAAUCAGAAUUAAUAAUCACAUGUGGGAGAUAUCUAUACCUCCCACUGUGAUUAGGAUACCGAGGCUUUAACGCCUGGCGUUUACAAAUAUGCGGGGACUCCCAGCGUGCAGUGUUACACAUGCUGCCACUGGGAGGCGAGGAGGAGAUCACGAGCGGCGUGUAGCGCAGAGAGGACGUCGCUCGCCGACAGGUAGGGGAAGGGGAGACCGCGCCCUGACAUAUCCCCCCCCCCUUCGAGGACCGGCAGGCGGGAUGCCAAAGGCUUCAAAGGAAACCGCGCAUGAAAGGAGCGGAUCAAAGAGGGCACAUUCAAAUCAGAGGCAGAAACCCAAGACCGCUCCUCAGGGCCGUAAUCCUUCCAAUCCACCAGAUACUGCAACCGACCUCGAGAAAAACGAGAAUCAAGCAGAGCAGCCACUUCGUACACAUCACUGGAGACCGUGCGGAGGGAAUCCGGACGCCGGAGAGGACCAGAGAAUCGAUUACAGAGCAAGAGCUUCAAAAGGAAGGUGUGAAAAGUGUUAGGUAUACGCAUGGAAGGAGGCAAGGCCAGAGAGUAGGACACGGGAUUCACCCUACGCAAUACCUUAUAGGGGCCAAGGAACAGGGGCGCAAAUUUCAUCGAGGGAACCCUGAGGCGGAGAUUCUUAGAGGACAACCAAACCCUAUCACCCGGGGCAUAAGAAGAAGCCGCACACCUAUAACGGUCAGCAAAUCUCUUCUGAGUAGCAGCCGCACGGGAGAGAGCAGCAUGGACCUGAUCCCACAUUUUCCGCAAGGAGGCAAGGUGCUCGUCCAAAGCGGGCAUUCCCUUGUCGUAGAACACACCGGGAAGGACAGAGGGUUGGAAGCCAUAAGCAACCAUAAAAGGAUUUAAGCCAGUGGACGAAUGAGUAUUCCUGGCGAAUUCAGCCCAGGGAAGGAGAUGAGACCAGUUGUCCUGGUGUGCAUUAGUGAAGCAGCGUAAAUAUAACUCCACAGAUUGAUUAGCUCCAUUGGAUUGUGGAUGAUAGGAGGAAGUAAAUGACAAGGAGAUCUCCAUCUCAGCACAAAAGCUCCACUGACAAAUUGAGGACCCCUAUCGGAUACGAUAUCCUGAGGUAUACCAUGCAAGCGGAACACCUCUUUGGCAAAUACCCGAGCCAACUGAACCGCAGAAGGUAGUUUUUUAAGGGGAAUAAAGUGUGCCAUCUUAGAGAACCUAUCAGUCACAGUCAAAAUUACUGUCUGUCCAUCAGAUGAAGGAAGAUCUACAAUGAAGUCCAUGGUUUCUCGGGUACAGAAAGGGGCAUUAGGAGUCCCGGGGGUUUAAUGUUAGGGGAUUUACACUGUGUGCAAACACGACAAGCCUGCACAUAAUCUACCACGUCUUGUUUAAGUGAGGGCCACCAAAACUGUUGAAGAAGACCCCCUUGUAUGUUUUGGUAACCCCUGGAUGACCAGCAGUUUUGGCGGUGUGAAAUAAAGCUAAUAACUUCUUCUGUCUUUUUCUUUCACGUAUAAUCUACCAACAGGUGCCUCAGAGGGUGCUUGGGAUUGGUAUGUCUUGAUACCAUCAAGGAAAAGAGACGAAAUAACCAAACGGGUAGCAGCUAUUAUCUUAGAUGUAGGUACAAUGGUUUCAGGAGCGGGGGCAAUCGACUCCAAAGGUUCGUACUGUCUGGAGAUAGCAUCAGCCUUGACAUUACGGUAUCCAGGCCUAUAUGUGAUAAUGAACUGAAAGAGUGAAAGAAAUAAAGACCAUCUGGCCUGACGAG
rnacentral:lncRNA from 1 species